UGGAAGCAAACCCCUAUCAGACUUGAAUAGAUUCCACAUAUAGUAGAAGGAGGACUGAAGAUAAAUGAACCCAUCCAUGCGUGUCACCCAGUGGUUAUUUGAGUGCAGUGUUGAGAAGGCGUGUGACGGCUCUCAAUCUGAAGAUUUAGCCAUUAGUACUGACUGGCCAUGGCCGUGGUCCUGAGCCUGGACCUCCUGCUCAUUUUUCAUCCAGGACAGCGGUGACAGCGUGGGACGCUGCACAGCCAGUACCGUGAUCUCCAGCCUC